AGGGUUUUAAACGCAGUAGCUAUAGGCCCCAGGUUUUCAAGAUCUCUCUUCUCCGUCCUCCCUUUGUCUUUGGCUGGCGAGGGUUUCGGAAAUCCAUCGUUGGAGCGGAGAGGAGGAGGAAGAAAACGAAGAGGCGAUGGUCUCUCCGCACCAGCUCCUCUCGACGGUCGAGGCCGCCCUUCUCGGCCGACGCCAUUCGUUCUUCCCUCUCGGCUCUCCUAAACCUCCUCUCCUACCCGACCCUCUCUCUUCUCGUCUUCUUCUUCUCGCUGCUGGUGGCUGUUUGAUUUCAUCGGCGUGCAGAGCCCUAAGGUGCCCGAUUGGUCUCAGGUUCAAUUCAAGGAGGUCAGGCUUCCCGAUUCAUCACCGUCUCGCUGCAUGACAUGGAUGUGCGGAUGGCUGUUGUGCUUGACCAGGGGCUGGAUGCUGAUCUUGUGGCUGACAUUCAGAAGCACUUGGAAUGUCUAUUUGGCUCUGGAAUAUGGCAACAGCUGAUUAUGUUGAUAAAGGAGGUGACUUCUCAAGUAAAGAUGGAUUUGUGUUCCAAACCUUGUGCCUAAGCUCUUUGGACUCUUACUUGUUUCUUCGUGCUUUCUGCUUAACCUUGCUUAUAUUCAGGCUUGGUACUUAUAAAAUGUGGUUUUUGGCGUAGCCAAGGUUUUCAGUGAGGGAAUUUUGUUAAGAGCUUGUGGAAUUGAAUGUUUAGAUGCUACAAUUGGGUAGUGAUUUGAGGGUGACUGUUGGAUUUUAGCUAUUUUGCAUGUAGAUUUUCAAAUAAUUUUGAAUUUAAGCAGCGAAAGUUAAGAUUAAAACAAUUUUAAUCCUAUGCAUGCAUAGAUCAAAAUCUUAUAUCUAUUGAUCUAGUUUAUAUGAUGAUAAAUAAGAUAUAAAGUAUCUGAUUUCAGAGAUUAAAAAUUUAUUGUGAUCGAAUCAGAUACCUGAAUCACAGAACUCCUCGAAUCCGGAUCUAUAGAUGCCUUCAGGUUCUGAUGUGGCCGUGCAUAUGCCCAGUCUCUAUGGAUAUCCACAUGAGACUUGAUCUGAUCAGAGGCUCUAUGUUCUCUCCGAGGUAUUAGCUCUCUUGCAGAGAAUACUUCUUUGAUGGUUGAACAAGAUCUCCUUCAAUCUCCAAGAUAAUCUUAAGAAGAAAGAAGACAAGAUGUAGGAGGAAGAAGACUUGGAGAGGAGAGAACCUUUCUCUCUUUCUCCCUAAAAUUUUCUCACGCCCCCAAAGAUAACCUAUGUCCAAAAGAAGGUUUUCAGAUGUUUCUUUAUGUUCCAAAGCCCCUCUAUUUAAAUAGGAGGCAUCUAAGGGUGAUAAGGCUAGAGUUUGUGUAAGACUAUGUUUGAUAGGAUCAAAUCCAAUCAAACAAGGAGUCCUAUUUUGAUCCAAUCAAAAUCAGAUCAAAUCAGAUUUGAUCUCAAACAACAAUGGACAUAAGAGAGGGGGUGUGGAGGUGUUUGGGCUGGUCAACCACAUGCCAAAUUAGAUUUGAUGUUGGGUUUAGGUGGUGCAAAAAGAGAGGUGGCGCCAAGGAGAAAUCUUUGUCCAACUAGGAUUCAUUUGUUUACUGAUUUAAAUCUA